UACAGAGGAGCCAAGCGUUGUCCGGAUUGACUGGGCGUAAAGCGCACGCAGGCGGUUGCGCGCGUGGGGUGUGAAAUCUGGCCGCUUAACGGCCAGGCGCCAUCCCAUACGGCGCGACUGGAGUGAUGCAGAGGUCGAUGGAAUUGCCGGUGUAGUGGUGAAAUGCGUAGAGAUCGGCAGGAACACCCAGGGGGGAAACCAGUCGACUGGGCAUCUACUGACGCUGAGGAGCGAAAGCGUGGGGAGCGAACAGG
rnacentral:rRNA from 1 species